rnacentral:rRNA from 1 species
UUCUGUAGGUGAACCUGCAGAAGGAUCAUUGUUGUAAAACUCAGCAGCCUCUGGGCUCCGUUCACUCGGGCCUAGAGCUGCGAUCCACAAACCAAACACACCUGUGCACCUAUGAAUUUUUUUCACCAAACGCAAAGUAGAUCAUUGAAUGUUUACAAAAAUCCUUCGAAGGAAGGUGAAAGUUAAAUACAACUUUCGGCAACGGAUCUCUAGGUUCUCCUAUCGAUGAAGAACGCAGCGAAUUGCGAUAAGUAAUUGUGAAUUGCAGAAGUCAGUGAAUCAUCGAAUCUUUGAACGCAUCUUGCGCCCUUUGGUAUUCCUUAGGGCAUGCCUGUUUGAGUGUCACGAGCAACCUUUAAACCUCGGGUUUUUUCAUUAAGACCUGCCUGGGUUUAGUCUUGAGCGCCUGCCCUGUCAAAGGGGCUCGCUCUAAAUGCAUUAGCUGGAAGCACCUUUCCAUAUGGUCGCCUGCUCUUUCUUUAAAGUAGUGGGGCGGACUGUCAGCGUGAUAAUUGUCUUGCUGGUGGUCUACCUCUACGAAAUUCAGAAAUUACCAAGAGCGGAUGUGCCGGAUAGCGUCUUUCGCUUCUAACCAAGGGAGCCGGUCCUGUCAAGGAUCGCGCUCUGCACUAUUUGACAUCUGGCCUCAGACAGGUAGGACUACCCGCUGAACUUAAGCAUAUCAAUAAGCGGAGGAAAAGAAACUAACAAGGAUUCCCCUAGUAACGGCGAGUGAAGAGGGAAGAGCCCAAGUUUGAAAGCUGGCACCUUCGGUGUCCGCAUUGUAAACUCGAGAAGCAUUAUCCGCGCCGGACCAGGCUUUAAAUCCUUUGGAAUAAGGUACCUUAGAGGGUGAUAGUCCCUUUCAUAGUCUGGAACCCCCGGGGCUUUGUGAUUUGCUCUCCAAGAGUCGAGUUGUUUGGGAAUGCAGCUCAAAAUGGGUGGUAAAUGCCAUCUAAGGCUAAAUAUAGAGGAGAGACCGAUAGCGAACAAGUACCGUGAGGGAAAGAUGAAAAGAACUUUGGAAAGAGAGUUAAACAGUACGUGAAAUUGCCGGAAGGGAAGGGUAGGAAGUCAGACAUGCCUCUGCGGAUUCAGCUUGACCUUUCGAGGUUGGGUGUAUUUCCGUUUGGGCAGGCCAACAUCGAUUUUGGCUGCCGGAUAUGAGUGUAAGGAAUGUGGCAUCCUCUUCGGGGGGUGUGUUAUAGCCUUGCACUUGGUACGGUGGCUGGGAUCGAGGAACGCAGUGCACCCUUCGGGGCGGGCCUUCGGGCACCUUUGCACAUAG